GGAAAUUAAGUAGAGAAAUGAAAGAGCUAAAAAGGAAUUAAAAGAAAAAGCUUAGAAAAAAAAUAAAGAUUAUGGUAUGGUAGCUACAUGGGGAUUCGACUAAGAUGAAUAAGAUAAUGAGGAUGUUGAUGAAACUGCUCUCAAGGCCUUUAGAGAUUCUGAUAUGGAAGAAGAGAAAGCAACUUCUGAGGUAUGUAUCUUUGAACUAAAAGAAUAGGUGCAUUUAUUUUCAAAAAAAGGCUUGUUUCUUUAAUGAGUGCUCUAAUUGAUGAUUAUCAAGAUCUAACCUAUGAUUGGGAUGAAAUAUUUAGCAGUUUUGCAAACCUAAGAUUUAAUUAUAUUGAUCUAGAGGCUUGUAAAAUCACUAUUGAGAUAGAAAAUCGCACCCUAAAGGAAUAGAUUAACACUUGAUUCAUCAAACCUGCGCCUCAAGUCUAAAGUUUUAAAAUUAUCACACUCAGAAAAAGGCAAAAAGGUUAAGAGUUAAUAACAAGAAAAAACUGAGUCAGAACUGAUUAAGUACAAAUAUGAGCGUUUCUGUGAAAAAGAAAAAGUGAGAAAAUUAACUCAAGAAGUAACUACACUAAAAAUUAAUCUUGAAAGAGCCAAUAUAUGGACAAAUUCCUUAAGAAUUAUUCAUAAUAUGAGUAAAAUAACCCAUAAGGAAAAGGCUGAAUUGGGUUUCUAUAAAAGUUCUAGUGCGACAAAAGAUUUGUGCUAUAUAUGUGGAAAUCUAGGACAUCUAAUGUAACAACGUAAAAAUUUGAUGAAAUACAUAAAAUAUGUGUUUCUAUAUGAUUUGACUAUUUUACCCCUCCCUUUAGUUGCAUUAUGAUAUUUUUUAGGGUGUGGGGUGUUGGUACUAUUCUCGAUGUAUUUGGUACCUUCUGUGUGAUAUUGUGGUUUCUAGAGACUUCGAGAGCCUUAUUAUGACUUGUGUGGUUAUAUUUUGAUCCAUGUGACGGAUUGCUUAACGGACUUUGCCAAAAUGUCUAAAACAUCAAAUUUAGUGAGGUCACAUAGUUCAUUUGUGUAAAUCGUAUUUUGAACGAAUUUUUAGCACCCCAUCAAAGUCUGUUUUGGGCAUAGAAAAUUUGGUGCACUAGGUUGUUGGUGCAACCUUGACCAUAAAAGGUAAACCACAUUUGGUGCAUGUGUUUUAUACCUUAAAGUGUAAAUCACAUAUGGGGCAUGCGAUUUACGCCUUAUACACCUGGUAACCUGAUAUGAGUAUAAAUAAUCCUUUUUGACCGAUUUUGGCUCAUUUUUCGCUUUGCCUCUUGGGAUAUAAAUCCUAAAAUAGUGUGAGAUAUUAAAAAAUGGAGCCUGUGGGUGCUUGAGAAGCUAGAUUAACAUCUAUUUCUCAAUUUUAUUAUGGAUUUAAGGUGAGAUUUCAUCCCUUUCUUACUUUAAUUCUUGAUUCAUUAUUCAAAAACCUUAUUACUUUAUUUAUCCCAAAAUUUCACUUCUUUUUACUUGAAUAAUGUUUCUAAUCCUAUAAUUACUUAUUUUUUCGUGAUUUCAUCUUCAAAACAUCUUCGAUUCUUGAAUUUUUAAUAGAGUUCAAAGGAUAUACUCGGUAAAUCUUUAAAAUGAUUUUUUUCAAUUUGAAUCUUGUUUUUGACUCAAUUUGACAUGAGUUUUCAGCUAUAGAUUCCUAAAAAUAUGGGAAAUAAGUUUUGAAGUAAAGUUACUGUUUUUUUCAUUUUUUCUAAAAAUCAUUUGAGAGGUCCAUUUUGACCCUGAACUAAAAGUAGGCAAUAUGGAUAUUGUUGGCUUUGUUUUGAUGAGUAGAUUUUGUAUUUCUUAAUUUUAGUUAAUUUUGGGAUCGUUCAGUGAGGAGUAGGACUUUGGGAUCAAAGUGUAGCCGACCGAUUUCAACAUUUGAGGUAGAUUAUGGCUUAACUCUUCAGACUGGGCUGGGUAGUUAAUUUGUAUAUAAAAAUGCAUGUUAAGGGGUGAGAACUUAUCAUGAUAUAUGGCUAUCUAUGUGUUGUGCCCUUGCGGGGGCCUAAAUGUGAUCUAAUUAUUGAAUGUGAGAUAUCAUGUGAUCUGUGUGACUGUGUGGGAUCUUAUAUGAUGUUGAUAGCUUGGAAUACAUGAGAAUAAUUAUAUUGUGUCAUUAGAAAUGCCUAUUGUGAUUCCUGUGGAGUAUUUUGAUAUAUUUAAACUUUGUGGACACAUAAAUCAUAUGGAAAAUUUAUGGAUAGUGGAAAUAGUGAGUGGAUAUUAGCUUACGUUGUUGUGGAAUUGUAGCAUUAUGGUUGGUUGUGGAAAUACAUCAUAUGGAUUGGUUGUGGAAAUACAUCAUGUCAAUUGGUUGUGUAAAUACAUCAUGUGGAUUGGUUAUGGAAAUGCACAUUUUGAAUGGUUGUGAACCUUGCACAUUAUUCUCAUGUCAUCAUAUGCAUCAUUGCACUUGUUUGUUUUAUUGCUUUAUAUUUACUUAUUGUCGUGUAAGUGUUCUUGAUUCGUGUCUUAUGUUAUGUAUGUGCUUUGGAAAUACUAGAAUUAUUGGAAAUAUUAGAAACACUAGAAAUACUGAAUAUUGCUUAAUCUUGUGUGCCAAUCUCAAGGUUAUGUGCUAAUCUCAAGGUUGUAUGCCAACCUCAAGGUUGUGUGCCCACCCCGUGCAUCAUCAUCAUCAUCAUAUUAUACAUAGAAUUUGCUUUAUUGUAAUUGAUGUUGUGAUUGGAUUUCCAUAUUGACUUAUUAUAUGUCUACUUGCUCUAUAUCUUGUCACUUAUACUUGACCAUCCUGUAUAUAAAUGUUAUUCACUAUUUAUACCUGCGUGUGAGAUAAUGUAUACUUGUGUUAUACUUGCUAUAUUGUUAUUAUAUUUUAUAUGUAUAUAUAUUAGCACCAUUAGUGAAAGUGGUAUGGGCAACCGUUGUGGGAUAUUUCUUGAUUGCAGGUGACGUGCCCCUAGUGUGUAUUUUGUUUACUUUAUUAUUUACUUUGUCCAAUCAGCCUAUCAUACCUAUUAAAGAUAAGUGGACCGUACUCACUGCUACUGUCCCCCUUUGGUGCAGAUUCAGGUUCGGGUGCACCCCAUGCUGCUUGACUUUGGCGAUUUUUGGAGCUUUUAAGGUAAUAGAUAAUUUUCAGGCAUCUGAAUGUCUUCUACUACCUUUUAUUAUAGACUAUGUCCUUACUUUCAUUUCAGAGAUAGAGUUUCUCUUAUUUUUGAAUAUCUUAUACAUUUCUUUAGGAUUUGAGUUGUAUUAGAUAUGUUCUUAUAUGGUUGACACCUGAUUUUGGAAGUUAUGGCUACAUUGUUGUGUUUCUUUCUGCCUUUAUUAUACUUGGAUGAUUUGGAUCUAUUAUAGAAGCCUUGCCUAGGGGCUAUUAUUAUUUUUUCUCUCUUACUAUUUUGGUUAGGGUAAUAGGCUUACUUGUCAAGGUUCGUUGGGACAAGUGCUAUGAUGACUCUUUGGAUUUUAGGUCAUGACAAAUUGGCACCGGGGCAGCCAGGUUUCAUUGGUCUUAAUAAUGUAAGAAUAAGAUGUCUAAUAGAGUCUUGCAAAUUGGUAAACGGACAUUUGUACCUAUCUUUGAGAGGCUAUAGGAUGUCUUUAGGAAAAAUUUCCUCAUUUUAUUUCUUAUCAUGUGAAUUUUUGAUAUACCCUGAGUUCUGAGUUGUCUUAUACCCUUUCUGCAAAUAUGGUAUUGACUAGGUCCUGCGAAGUCAGAAAUGUGGAGCCUUCUUCUAGAGAGCAAGCCUCGAGUUGUAGAUGGACUCAAGGAAGUGGAUGGUCUUGUGGAUCAUCCCCAUCUAGGAGAAGUUCUAGGGGAAUCUCCCCUGAGCCUCGUGUUGGCUACUUCUCAUAUUAUUAUGUUUUGUGCAUCUUUUCAUAGAAUUAUGGAUCACACCAAGAUGACAGAGGGUAUUCUUAGAUCAUCUCAGGAAGGCGCCAAGAGGGUGUGCCAUUUUAGGGAGUUUAGAGGUCAGGAUUCCCAAGGUAGAGAUUUUAGAGGUUCUCAUAGAUAUCAGGGUAGGCCAGUGCAGGCGGCCUUACAGCGUUCAGAUGGUGGAUCUUCAGGUUCAGCGGUUCAAGAGGGUCGUCAGGGAAAGUUUAAAGUUUUCUAUAUAUGUGAUGAGACUGGCUAUGUGUCUAAGGAUUAUCCUCAUCGUAUGAUUAGAGCUAUUGCUAUUUUAGUGAUGAGAGAUAAGGGCACUAACAGAGGUGUGAGAGGUAGAGGUAGUGAAGCCCAUGGUGGUGGUCGUGGGGCUACUCAGCCAUUUGGUGGUCGUGGCCAGUGUUAUGCUAUACUUACUAGGCCAUAGGCAAAGGCUUCUAAUGCUGUGAUUACUGGCAUUGUACCCAUUUAUUUUAGAUCUGCAUCUGUGUUCUUUCACCCCAGAUUGACAUUUUCCUAUAUGUCUACAUAUUUUGCUUUAGGUUUUGAUUCUGUUAGUGAGCCACUUGCCAUGCCUAUUCAAGUAUCUACCCCUUUAAGAGAUUCUUUAGUAGUGUAUCAGGUGUAUCAAUCUUGUGUUCUGAGUAUUUAUGGUUGUCGGACUUGGGUAGAUUUGAUUGUGUAAGAUACGGUUGAUUUCAAUGUUAUUUUGGAUAUGGAUUGGUUGGUUCCUUAUCAUGAUAUCUUAGAUUGGUUUGCUAAGACCAUGACUUUAUCUCCGUCGGGUGUGCCAAUGAUAGUUUGGAAGGGUGCGUGUCAUUUGGAUCCUAAGAGGGACAUAUCCUAUGUUCAGGAUCGUAGAUUGGUUGAGAGGGGAUUUUCAUCUUAUUUGGAUCAUAUUUGUAAUACUAGUGUUGUUCACCUUCUUCUUCGGAUUCUAUUCAUGUUGUUCGUGAGUUUGUGGAUGUGUUCACUAGUUAGUGGAUGUGUUCAUUAAGGAUUUGCCUGGUAUGCCUCCGGAUUGAGAUAUUGAUUUUGGCUAUUGAUAUUGGACCACACACAAAACCCAUUUCUAUUCAUACUUAUAGGAUGGCCUCAACUGAGUUGAAGAAACUAAAGGAUAGUUGUAGAAAUUAUUGGAUAAAGGAUUUAUCUGACCUAGUGUAUUGCCUUGGGGUACAUCUAUCCUGUUUGUCAAAAAGAAGGAUGGGUCUAUGCAUAUGUGUAUUGAUUAUCGAUAGUUUAACAAGGUGAUAGUUAAGAAUAAGUAUCAUCUUCCUCAUAUUGAUGAUUUAUUUGAUCAUCUUUAGGGUGUUGUGGUGUUUUUAAAGAGUGAUUUGAGAUUCGAUUAUCACCAAUUGAGAAUUAGAGCUUUAGAUAUUUUGAAGACACCUUUUUGGAUUCGAUAUGGUCAUUAUGAGUUCAUGGUCAUGUCCUUUGGGUUGACCAUGCCCCUGCUGCAUUUAUGGAGUUCAUGAACUGGGUCUUUCAACCGUAUUUUGACUCUUUUAUUAUUGUAUUUAUUGAUGAUAUCUUGGAUUAUUGCAAGAGUGGGACUAAGCAUAAGGAGCAUUUGAGGAUUGUGCUUCAGAGAUUGAGGGAUGAGAAGUUGUAUGUUAAUUUCUCCAAGUGCGAGUUUUGGUUGGAGUUUGUUUCUUUCUUGGGUUAAGUGGUAACUAAAGGUGGUAUUAUGGUUGAUUCAACCAAGGUUGCAGUGGUUCGUGAUUAGGAUAGACCUACUUCACCCACCAAGAUUUAAAGUUUUGUUGGUUUGGCUAGUUAUUAUCGGCAUUUUGCUGAGGGUUUUUCAUCCAUUAGAGUUUCAUUGACUAAGUUGACUCAGAAGAAGAUUUCUUUAUAGUGGUCUGAUGCUUGUGAGGCGAGCUUUCAAAAGCUCAAGGAUUUGUUGACUUCAUCUCCUAUCUUGACUUUACCCAAGGAGAGCGUGGGUUUUAUCAUCUUUUGUGAUUCUUCAGGUAUUGGGUUUCAUGUUGCGUUGAUACAGGAGGAUAAGGUGAUUGUGUAUGCUUUCCAUUAGUUGCAGCCCCAUGAGAAGAAUUACUCUACCCAUGAUUUAGAGUUGUGCGUGGUUGUUUUUGCUUUGAAGUUGUUGAGGCACUACUUGUAUCGAGUCCAUUGUGAGAUUUUCUAAGAUCAUAGUAGCCUUUAGUACUUCUUCACCCAGUGAUAUCUAAGUUUGAGGCAGCAUCGGUUGCUUGAGUUGUCUAAGGAAUAUGACUUAACUAUUCUCUACCAUUGGGGCAAAGUUAAUAUGGUUACGGAUGCCUUGAGCCGGAAGUCGACGAGCAUGGGUAGCAUAGCGCAUCUUUUGACCCAGGAGAGGCCUUUGCUCUUAGAGGUUUGGUCUUUAGCUAUCCAGAUGGUUAGCCUUGAUAUUUUGACACCUGGGUGUAUUUUUAGCAUUCAUUGAGGCUAGGUCUUUUUUUAUGGAGCAGAUUCAAGCUCACCAGUUUGAUGAUGUGGGAUUGAGAUUGAUUCAAGAUAAGGUAUUGAAUGGGGAGGAUAAGGAAGCCUCACUUAAUUUGGAUGGAGUUUUGAGGAUUGGUGGUCGAGUUUGUGUGCUGAAAGUAAGUGAUUAGAUUAGAAUAAUUUUGUAGGAGGCCUAUUGUUCAGAUAUUUUAUCCAUUCAGGAUGACUAAUAUGUAUCGUGAUUUGGCCUUCACCGCGACGUGCCAAGGCUGUCAUCGUGAUUUCCACCAUGAUGCGGUGCUAUCGCAGUGACUCACUGGAAUCAGACAAUUGCUGAUUUACCCUUCACCGUGACGCGAUGACUCCUCCACCGCUAUACUUACCACAAUGCAGUCUAAUCACGGUAAGCUAUUGUUUAGGAAAUUCAAACGUGGUCGAAACCUCGUUCAAAAAAUCCAAAACAUACCCGAGACAUGCUACUUGCACCCCAGAACAUGAAUUAACUAAAAAACUUAUAUUUCGGGGUCGGGAAGGUCACUUUAAAUAUCAACAAAGUUAAGAGGUCAAAAAAUGAAACUAAGUCUCCAACACUUAGCACAAUUUUCUGGUUCUAAGCCUCUUGAACAUGUACUUGGGCUGAAUUGAGCUAAGAUAAUUAUGGGGUAUUACAAUAACUCCCCCUUGGGAAUAUUCAUCCUCGAAUGAGACUGAUUAAGAUAAGAAUACAAAGGUAUUAAUAUUACAUACUGAUUAUGCAUAACUGAAAACAUGAUACGUGACUGAGUCUGAAACAUGAUGACUGACUGAACUGAUUUGUGAAUGCAUGAAAUGACAUGAACAUGAUUAUAUGGCUGGAACUGAGAAUGAGAAAGUGGAACUCUAGGGAAAACUAUUACCUUGAGCUGAGUUUGAGUUUGUGGAGAAAAGGUGAGGGUACUUGGUACGCAUGUAUGCUUCUUCUUCCCAAGUAGCUCUCUCAAUGGAAUGAUUCCUCCAAAGAACAUUGACCAAGGGAACUUCUUUGGUCCUUAGUCUGCGAAUCUGGUGAUCUAGGAUUUCAACUGGGAGUUCUUUGCGAGAAAGGCCGUUCUGAAUAUCUAAGCUCUCUAAAGAAACAACGACAGCUGGAUCACCAAUACACUUCUUUAAUAAAGAAACAUGGAACACUGGGUGCACUGAUGCCAAAUCUGCAAGCAACACAAGCUCAUAUGCUUUUUUUCCAAAAUGACUUAAGAUCCUAAAAGGGCCUACAUAUCAGAGACUAAGCUUACCCUUUUGACAAAUCUCUUUACUCCCUUUAUGGGAGAGAUUUCCAAAUAUACAAAAUCACUAAUCUCAAAUUCAAGAUCCUUUCUUCUCACAUCUGCAUAAGAUUUUUGUAAACUCAAGGUUGUCUUAAGCCUCUCCCUGAUCAACUGAAAUUUCUUCAAUGCAUUGAAAAUAGAAUCUAGCCCUAUCAAUAUAGUCUCCCCUACCUCAAACCAACCAAUAGGAGAUCUACAUCUCCUCACAUAAAAGCCUCAAAUGGAGCCAUCUGAAUACUGGAAUGAUAGUUGUUAUUGUAGGAGAACUCAAUCAAUAGCAAGUGAUCAUCCCAACUACCCUUAAAGUCGAUAACAAAAGCUCUCAAAAUAUUCUCUAAGGUAUGAAUGGUCCUCUCUGUCUGGCCAUCUGUCUGAGGAUGAAAGGUUGUACUAAGACGAACUUGGGUACUAAGACCUUUCUGAAAAUCCUUCCAAAAAUUAGAGGUAAACUGAGUACCUCUAUCUGAAAUAAUGGACAAUGGGACUCCAUGCAAUCUAACCAACUCUCUAAUAUAGAGCUUGGCAUAAUCCUCGGUUGAAUAAGAAGUAUAAACUAGCAAGAAAUGGGCUGAUUUGUCCAUCCUAUCCAUAAUAACCCAAAUCGAAUCAUGCUGACGACGAGUACGAGGAAAGCCCAUCUCAAAUUCCAUGUUCACCUCUUCCCACUUCCAAGUAGUAAUACUAAACUCCUGUAUAGUGCCACUAGUCCUUUGAUGCUCAACCUUAACUGGCUAAUAAUAAGCACACUUGGCUAUAAAUUCUGCAAUGUCACUCUUUAUACAGCUUCACUAAUAGAUCUCCUGCAAAUCACGGUACAUCGUAGUGGCCCCUGGAUGAAUAGAGUAUUGUGCACCAUGCGUUGUUGCCUGAAUUCGCUGUCUUACACCAUUUACACAUAGCACACACAACAUACCCUGGCAACGCAACACACUAUCUCCCCUUAGGAGAAAACCUCUACUUUCUGAUCUUUCACUGACUCUUUCAACUUGACCAAGAUAGGAUCUUUAUCUUGCUUUUCUUUUACUUCGGCAACCAAAAAAGAUUCUAAACCAUUCUGAACCCACACACCACCCACAACUUAGCUAACCAAAUGAAUGUCUAAUCUAGAUAACUGAUGAACCUCCUGAACUAACUUCUUCUUAUCACUUUCAACAUGAGCAACACUACCCAUCGACAACCUACUAAGGCAUCUGCCACUACAUUGGCCUUGCUCGAAUGAGACAAAACACUCAUAUUAUAACCUUUCAACAAUUCUAACCACCUUAUUUGAUAGAGAUUUAAAUCUCUCUACGAAAAUAUAUACUGCAAACUUUGGUGAUCUAUGAAUACAUCAACAUACACCCAAUAUAGAUAAUGCCUCCAAAUUUUCAAGGCAAACACAAUAGAUGCUAACUCAAGAUCAUGGGUAGGAUAAUUUUUUCAUGGGGCUUAAUCUGUUUAGAGGAGUAGGCUGUGACCUUUCCUCUCUGUAUCAGGACAAAACCCAAACCAACUCAGUAAGCAUCACAGUAAACAACAAACCCAUUUGAACCAUUGGGCAAUGCCAAAACAAGGGCUGAGGUGAGUUGAAUCUUCAACUCCUGAAAACUCUUCCUACAAGAAUCUGACCAUUGAAAUUUGACUUUCUUCUGAGUCAAUUUGGAGAUAGGGGAUGCAAUAAAUAAAAACCCUUUAAUAAAUAAUCUGUAAUAGCCAUCCAAACCCAAGAAACUCCUGAUGUUUGAUGGAUAAAUAGGUCUGGGCCAGUUUCUCAUUGCUUUGAUCUUUUGAGGGUCAACUCUAAUUCCAUCACCAAAAAUAAUAUGGCCAAGGAAAGCUACAGGUCUUCGCCAAAAUUCAUACUUACUAAAUUUGCCGAAUAACUGAUGGGCUCUAAGAGUCUACAAUACUAUUCUGAGGUAGUUUGCAUGAUUGUUUUUGUUGCAAGAAUAUCAUCAAUGAAGACUAUGACAAACAUCUCCAAGUACUGCUUAAAAACCCUAUUCAUCAAGUCCAUGAAAUCUGUAGGGGCAUUUGUAAAACCAAAAUACAUGACUAAGAAUUUAAAGUGACCAUAUCGAGUUCUAAAAGCUAUUUUCAGAAUGUCACAUUCUCUGAAUCUAAGCUAGUAAUAGCCGAAUCAGAGGUCCAUCUUAAAGAAAUAACUGGCACCCUGAAGUUGGUCGAACAAGUCAUCAAUUCUGGGAAGUGGGUACUUAUUCUUGAUAGUGACUUUUUUCAACAGAUGGUAAUCGAUUCAUAUUCUAAGAGAACCGUCUUUCGUACACACGAAAAGAACUAGAGUGACCCAUGGGGAAACACUGACCUGUUGAAUCUCUUAUCUAAGAGAUCUUUCAACUAUUCCUUUAACUCUCUAAGAUCUGCUGGAGCCAUUCUGUAGGGUGGAAUAGAGAUAGGUUGGGUAUCUGGAAGAAGGUCUAUUCCAAAGUCAAUUUUCCUUUUGGGAGGAACUCCGGGAAGAUCUUUGGGAAGAACAUCUUGGAAUUCCCUCACUACUAAAACUGAAUUAGGCCUAGGAGUCUCAGAAUUAAAGUCUUUAACUCAAAAAGAUGGUAGACACAUCCCUUUGGUACCAUUUUUCUCGCUCUAAGGUACAAAACAAGUUAACCCCUAAGUGCUAAAGUACUACCCCUCCAUUUUAGAAACUGGUUCAUUCAAAAACUAAAAAUGAACAACUCUAUUUCUAUAAUCAACUAAAGCAUAGCAUGAGUGGAGCCAAUCCAUGCCGAGAAUGACAUCGAAAACAGUCAUUUCUAACUCCACAAGAUCAACAAAGGUGACUUUUUGGGAUAUUAUGAUCGAAAAGUUCUUGUAUACCUGCCUGGAUAUAAUAGAAACACCUACUGGGGUAGAUACUAAGAAGGGUUCUGCUAAAGUCUCAAGACUAACACCAAAAUUAACAGCUAUGUAAGGAGUUACAAAAGAAAGAGAAGCUCUGGGUCUAACAAAGCAUAAAUAUGUAAAUUAAAGACCCAUAACGUACCAUUAACCACAUUAGGAGAAUUUUCCUAAUACUGUCAAGAUUGAAGUGUGUACAAUAUGCUUAGGCGCUGACCACUGGUGGCACUAAAAGCAACACCCUAUUGAGUCGGGCGAUCAAUAGAACUGGAGGGAUGACUAGACUUACCCUGUUGACCACUCUGUGGGAAAUUCCUGACUCUGUGGCAUGGAUUUCCAUACCUAAAGCAUACAUCACUGCCAGCUCUACACACACCCUGAUGGUUUCUACUAUAUUUCUGGCAAAGAGGAUUUGUGCGACUACUGGUAAUAAUUCCUUGGGGUUUAGGGUGCCCUAUCCCAAUUAUUGUUUUUAAACUUUGGUGUUGGCGUACUAGAUGAAUAUGGACUGGGGAUAAAGAUUUCUGAUGGAAUUAAGGACGGUUACCACCCUCCAACCUCGGUUGAGAAAAACUAAAGCUACCCAUUCUGGCUCACUUAUUAUCCUUCUCUUUUACCUUACAUUUUUUCUCCUUAAUUUGUUGAUCAUAGACCAUAAAUCUAGAUAAGUCCAUCUCCUUAAUCAACAUCGUGGUCCUACACUCUUUUCCCAUGCUAUCAGCUACACCAGAGACAAACUUACUCAUCCUAGACCUGUUAUCAGAUACCAGAAUAGGAGCAUACCUGGUUAGCCAGGUAAACUUACGAGAAUACUCUUUCACACUCAUGUUUCCCUGUUUCAAGUAAAUAAAUGCCUGAACCUUAGCUUCCGUUAACUCCAAGGGAAAGAACCUAUCUAAAAAGGUCAUCAAAAACUUCUCCUAUUUAACAAGCCCUGCAUUUUCUCCUCUAUCUCCCUUUCAUAAUUUAUACCAGGUAUGAGCAACAUCCUACAACUGGUAAGCACCCAGCUCUACACUUUCACUAAAAGUCAUACCCAUAAUAUCAGUUACUUUACAAACCAUGUCAAGGAACUCUUGCGGAUCCUCAUUAGACUUAGAUCCCGAAAAUAGAGGAGGGUUCAUUCAGGUAAAGUCCUGAAUCCUAGCUGCGACAGUAUUAGCCACUGGAAUGGUUGGGAUGGAAAAUAGCUGAAAUGGCUGAUUAUUCUAGGUUACUACUUAGUAAGCUAAGGUAGUGAAUGCAACUCUAAAUUUGGCAUAGGAAACAUGCUCGUUCAGGGGAUCUUUCUGAAUAGGAGAAAGUGCUGGCUAAUUCCUGUUUCUCCUUCUGUUAUUCUUUCUAGGAGGCAUGCUCUAUAAAUGAAAACAAAAUUGAAUUAGAAAGGGAGUUUAAGUUAAGAUCAUGCUCACUUAUACGAUAUGAAUACUGAAAGUAGGAAACUUUUCCUAAAAUGUCUUGUAGCUUCUUGCCCAUAAGUAUGGCACACUUCACACCCAUGCACAAGACUAUACUCAAAUCAAAUUUUAGACUCCCUAGGAUACUUUAAAACCUUAUGCUCUAAUACCAAGUUUGUAACACCCCCAGAGUAUACCCUGGAUACCACACAGUGCUUACAGACCUGAAGGACCAUAAGCUAACCCAAGCUGGUACCUGCUGUAAGCACUGAAUAAAAUAAUAAAGAACAUGUAAGGAAUUUAAUUAGAAAAUGCCAUAAGGUUUUAGCAACUGAAAAUCAAUACUGAAUCAUAAUUUAAAAUGUGUUAAAUAUACUAUCAAUACUGAUAAAAAUGACUGAUAAUAGAGACUAAAAAACUGAUUAUCUGUCUGUACUAGUCUGAAAAGCCUCAAAACUGACAAACUUUGGAGUUGAUGGGACAAUUGCUCAACUAACUCCGAUUGACUAAAUAACUAGAUUUAAAAACUGAAAUAAGCAUAAAUGGUCCUCAAAACAUGAGGACUCACCACUACUGCAGCUAAUGUACUAGAAUGACUAGGUGCGGUUAGGAACCUAAGCAUUUGAACAUAUGAUAAAGACAUCAUAGCGCAAGAAAACUUAUAUGCUAUCAGUACAUUGAAUGUACUAGUAUGCUAAAUGAGGUUAGGCUAUUGUACAUGGUUCAUAUGCAUGAAUAAUAGCUGAUUGAGUAAGUAACUCAAGAUAAUUGAAUAACUGAUAUUAAUGUGUGAAUACUGUAAAUUCAAAGAAUGCAUGACCAAGCAUAUGACAUGAUAAUUGGAUAAUCUGUAAACUAAAAUACUAAAAUACUGAUACUGAAUAACUAACAAUUGUAUGCCAUGUUCAAGCAAGUCUAAAAACUAAAUUCUAAACUGAAUAUUAGACUAAGAUUGUGGGAGGUAUCAUCUAACCGACAUGCCCCAAUAAGAGUUAAUCGAGAUCCAACUUGUAAACCCAGUUAGAAGGGUGUCAGUAUCGUACCACGGGUACUAACACUGGCUAUGUGGAUCCACUGAAGUAAAGUCCUGAAGGACUAAAGAGUCACCCUCUACUUGCAGGUGCUCUGGUGAGAUAUGUGUCAACCCUCAACUGGCAGGUCAACAUCCCUAACCUAUGCGAACUACGUAGUUCUAGAAUACAAAGACUACUACUAAAGGUUACACCCUCAACUGGUAGGUGAGCCCCCAUCCCUGGGUUCACUCGGUGCUAAAUACUACUCUCAACUGAACUGACGCAAAAUACUGAACUGAUCUGAACUUAACUAAUAGGAUAACUGACUGAACUAAUAAUAAUAUAUACCUAAAAACCAUUAUGAAGGUACUAAUACUGAGUAAACAGGUAAAUUUCGAGUAUUUAUAACCCUUAGGACUCGAUAAUAUUCAUAGUAAAAGCAUACCAAAACUUCAAAAGCAUAAUAGAUACUUCUUAGUCAAAGUUCAUCUCCUAGGCAUUUCAUUAAACACUUGAAAUUCAUGGUUUAAGCAUGGGAAUAGUUUUAUCAUGUAAAGAUAGCAUGAUUACGACACUAAAAUAACCAAUUAAGGCUUAAAUCAGCAAACAAGCACCACUCAAAAUAUGUAGGGUUUAAUAACAACAACAAUAUCAAGGAAACAUGAUAUAAACUCUAGAUUCAUGAAGAAUUCUUGAAUAUUAGGACCCAUGGAUGAAUAUUUAAGAUACCUUAAUUGGAUAAUUCUUGAAGAUUCUUGGUGGUUUUCUUAAAAAUUGAGCUUGAAUCUUAAAGGGCUAGGGUUUGUCCUUCACCGUGAUGGGGUGACUCUUCCACCUCUAUACUCACCGCAACGCGGUCUAAUCUUGGUGAACUUUUGUGGGAAAUUCAAAUGUGGUUCAAACCUCGUUCGAAAAAUCUGAAACUUACCCGAGGCAUGUUACUUACACCCCUAAACAUAAAUUAACUCAAAAAGUUACAUCUCAAAAUCGGGAAGAUCACUUUAAAAAUCAACAAAGUUAAGAAGUCAAAAAAUAAAGCUAAGUCUCCAACACUUAGCCAAAUUUUCAGGUUCUAAGCCUCUUGAACAUGUACUAUAGGCUGGAUUGAGAUAAGAUAAUUAUAGGGUAUUAUAGGUUUAGUGGCUACAUCGACUUGUAGAUGAGGCUACUUGGGAGGUAGAUUCCAAUAAUCAUAGUUAUUACCUCCAGCUCUUUGUUGAUUUAGGUAUUUCUUUGCGUUAGUUCGAGGACGAAGUAUAUUUUUUAGUGGUGGAUGAUGUAACGAGGAUUAUUGGCAUGGUUCCUGGUGCGUUUUGGUGCCUUUUGUGUGAUAUUGUGGUUUUUGGAGGCUUCGAGAGUCUUAUUAUAGAUAUAUGUGGUUUUAUUUUAAUUUGUAGGAUGGAUGGGUGAACAGACUUCACUAAUACGUCUAAAAUGUCAAAUUUAGUGGUGUUACAUAGUUCAUUUAUGUAAAUCAAAUUUCAAACGAAUCUCGGACACCCCGUCGAAGUCCGUUUUGAUCUUAAAAAAUCUGGUGCACCAGGUUGUUGGUGCAACAUGAACCACAAAGGGUAAAACACAUUUAGUGCAUGCAUUUUAUGCCUUAAAUUGUAAAUCAUAUAUGGGGUAUGCGAUUUAUGCUUUAUACACCUGGUAACCUGAUAUGAGUAUAAAUAGCCCUCUUUUGCCCGAUUUUUGCUCAUUUUUCACCUUGCCUCUAGAGAUAUAAACCUUAAAAUAGUGUGAGAGCUUAGAAUUGAAGCUGGUGGCUGUUUGGGAAGAUAGGUUAAUAACUAUUUCUCAAUUCUUUUACAGAUUUAAGAUAGGAUUUUAUCUUUUUCAUACUUUAAUUCUUGAUUCAUUAUUCAAAAACCCCCAAAACCUUACUACUUGUUUUAUCCCCAAAUUUCACUCUUUUUUACUUGAAUAAGUUUCUAAUCCUAUAAUUACUUAUUUUUCUUUGAUUUCAUUUUCAAACCAACGUCACUUCUUGAAUUUUUAACGAAUUUCAAAGAAUUUAUUUGGUAAAGCUUAAAAAUGGCUAUUCUUCAGUUUGAACCUCAUUUUCUUACUCAAUUUGACUUGGAUUUUCAGCUGUAGAUUUUUAAAAAUAUGAAAAAUAAGUUUUUGAAGUAAAGUUAUUAUUUUUUUUCUUUUUUCGAAAACCCAUUUAGGGGUCUGUUUUGACCCUGAACCAAGAGUAUGCAAUAUAGGUAUCGUUGGCUUUAUUUUAAUGAACAAAUUCUAUAUUUCUUAGUUUUGGUUGAUUUUGAAAUUAUUUGUGAGGAGUAGGACUUUUGGAUCAAAGUGUAGUAGAUCGGUUUUGACAAUCGAGGUAGGUUCUGGCUUAACUCUUCAGACUGGACUAAGUAGUUAAUUUGUAUAUCAAAAUGCAUGUUAAGGGUGAGAACUAAUAAUGAAGUAUAAUUAUCUGUGUGUUGUGACUGUAGGGGGCCUGAAUGUGAAGUAAUUAUUAAAUGUGAGAGAUCAUGUGAUCUGUGUGACUAUGCGAGGUCUUAUGUGAUGUUGAUAGCCUAGAAUACAUGCAAAUAAUUGUAAUGUGUCAUUAGAAAUGCCUAUUAUGAUGUCUUUGGCGUAUUGUGAUAUAUUCAUACUUUGUGGGGAUAUAAAUCAUGCGAAAAAUUAUGGAUAUUGGAAAUAGUGAGUAGAUAUUAUCUUACGUGGUUGUGGAAUUAUAACAUUGUGGUUGGUUAUGGAAAUACAUCAUAUGGAUUGGUUGUGGAAAUACAUCAUAUGAUUGGUUGUGGAAAUACAUCAUGUGGAUUGGUUGUGGAAAUACUCAUUUUUUAAUGGUUGUGAACCUUGCAUCAUCAUUCUCAUGUCAUCAUAUGCAUCAUUUCACUUGUUUAUUUUAUUGCUUUAUAUUUACUUAUUGUCAUAUAAGUGUACUUGAUUUGUGUCUUAUGUUAUGUAUGUGCUUUGAAAAUACUGGAAUUAUUGAAACUAUUGGAAAUACUGAAUAUUGCUCAAGGUUGUGUGCUAACCUAAAGGCUGUAUGCCAAUCUCAAGGCUGUGAGCCAAUCUCAAAGUUAUGUGUCAAUCUUAAGGUUCUGUGGCCACCUCGUGAUUCACCAUCAUCAUCAUAUUAUACAUUGCAUUUGUUUUAUUGUGAUUCAUGUUGUGAUUGAAUUUCCAUAUUGGCUUGUUUUAUAUCUACUUGCUCUAUAUCCUGUCACUUAGACUUGAACAUCAUGUAUAAACAUGUUCUUAUAUAUAUAUAUAUAUAUAUAUAUUAGCGCAAGCAGUGUGGACUGCCGUUGUGGGAUAUUUUCUAAUUGCAGGUGACAUUUCCUUAGUGUGUGUUUUGUGUACUUUAUUUUCUACUUUGCUCGGUCGGCCUAUGAUACCUACUGAGUACAAGUGGAUCGUACUCACUCCUACUAUACUCUUUCAGUGCAGAUUUAGGUUUGAGUGUGCUCCACACUGCUUGACUCGGGUGAUUGUUGGAUCUUACAAGGUAAUAGAUGAUUUUUAGGUAUUCGGACAUCUUCUACUACCUUUGUCUAGAGACUAUGUUCUUAUUUUCAUUUCAGAGACAGAGUUUCUUUUGUUUUGGGAUAUCUUAUGUAUUUCGGUUCGAUUUAAGUUGUACUAGAUAUAUUCUUAUAUUGUUGAUACCUAGUUUUGAGAUUUUUGGCUGCAUUGUUAUGUUUCUUUCCGAAUUUAAUAUACUUGGGUGGUUUAGAUUCGUUCUAGAAACCUUACCGUGGUGUUAUUAUUGUCUCUUCCCCUUGGUGUUUUGGUUAAGGUGAUAGACUUACUUAUCAAGGUUUACCGCAACAAGUGCCAUCAUGACCCCUUUGAAUUUUGGGUCAUCACAUCUAACCACUGAAUAUCCAGCCCCUGCAAAAAGUAGAUUUAGAAGCACAAAUAUAACUAAAGAAUCUGACUCCAAGUCAAUACAGGAUAAUAUGCUGAGCGUCAAGACUGGUCAGAGAAAUAGGUCACACAAUUUGUUGCCUCGGUGGGCUAGAAGGAACCUUAUUCAUCCCUUUAAUUAUAAGAAAGGACCCAAGCUUUUUUGGGUUCCUAAAACUAACACCUAAAUUAUUUUGCAGUAAAGAGUGAAAGAAAGAAAACAACAAUGGUACUUGGAUAGUGACUUCUCAAGCCACAUGACAGGAGAUAAACUUAAAUUCAUUACACUUUAAAAAAUUAAUGUGGGAGGAGUAUUAUUUUGGAGAUCGUAAAAAGAGUGUUAUGACUGGAGAUGGAAAGAUUGGAAAAUAUGUAUCUAGAACACUGGAAGAUGUCUAUCUUGUGGAAGGACUAAAGAACAACUUGCUCAGCAUAUCAUAAUUAUGUAACAAAGGUAAUGAAGUAACUUUUACUUUUGUAGGUUGUAAAUUCAAAAGAAUGGAUACCAUGGAGAUUGUUCUUACUACUAGAAGACAUGAAAAUGUGUAUAAAGCUAAUAUUUGGGGAUAUCUAGAACAAGAAUGACUAUUUUAAGUGCAAUUGAAAAUGACCUGCUCCUUUUGGCAUAAAAGACUUGGACAUAGAAGUCUGAAGCAAUUAAACAAACUAAAUUCCCAGGUAAUGGUGAUGGGAUUGCCCAAAACCAAGUUCAAAAAAGACAAGGGUUGUAAUACUUGUGUAAGGAGGAGGCAGGUAAGAUCUUCUUUCAAACCUAAGAACCAUGUCAGUACAACCAAGUUCCUUGACCUGGUCCAUAUGGACCUUUGUGGACCAAUACGAGUACAAAGUAGAGGAGGGAAAAGGUAUUUUUUGUAAUUAUUUAUGACUAUUCCAGGUUUACGUGGACACUAUUUUUGGCUUUCAAAGAAGAUGCUUUUGAUGUAUUUUCUAUCUUCAUGAAGAAAAUAAAAAAAGAGGCUAGGCACUUCCCUAAUUUCCAUAAGAUUUGACCAUGGUAUUGAAUUUUAAAGUGUAAAGUUUUUGGAAUUUUGUUCCAGCAAUGGCAUAGACCAUAAUUUCCCAACUCCUAGAUCACUACAACAUAAUGGAGUAACAGAAAGGAAAAAUAGGACCUUGGAAGAUAUGGCUAGAACAAUGAUGCGUGCAGGAAAUCUUACAAAAAAUCUUUAGGUCGAGGGAAUAAGUACUGUUGGGUACAUUGUUAAUAGAUGCAUAAUUAGGCCCAUUCUAGAGAAGACUCCCUAUGAAUUACUCAAAGGAAGAAAAUCAAAUAUUUCUCAUAUUAGAACCUUUACUUACAAGUGUUUCAUUCAUAAUAAUAGAAAAGAUAAUUUAGGAAAAUUUAAUGCAAAAAGUGAUGAGGGAAUCUUCCUAGGGUAUUCUCACCAUAUUAAAUCUUAUAGGGUUUCAAAUAAAAGAACAAACUAGGUUGAAGAAAGUAUGCAAGUUAUAUUUUAUGAAUCUUAUACUGAGACUAACAUGCAGGAUGAAACUGAAACUGAAGAAUAGGAAAAGGAAUAGAUUAUAUAACGUGGUCCAUCUAUAGAAAAAAAUUGGAGGUACAUUGAAAGGGUGAGCUGAACCACCAGUAACUCCAGCUCAAGUCAUUCAUAGUGAUCCCAGUAGCUCAUAAGGAUUGGUUCCAAAAAGCUACAAGUAUCAAGGAUCUCAUUCAGUUGAAAUUUUUCUAACUAAUCUUACCUCAAGGAUUACCACCAGAUUUAGACUGAAAAACCUAUAUGCCAUCAAAGCCUGUCUGUCAGUAAUUAAACCAAAAAGGGUAAAUAAAUCUCUUUUUGAUGAAAAUUGGAUCACUGGUAUGUAAGAAGAGCUUAAUCAGUUUGAAAGAAGCAAAGUUUUGCACUUAGUUCUACCUCCACAGGACAAGACUAUGAUUGGAACUAAGUGGGUGUACAAAAAUAAAGAAGAUGAACAUGGAACAGUUAUAAGAAAAGAGGCAAGGAUGGUUGUCCAAGGAUACAAUCAGGAGGAAGGCAUAGACUAUGAUAAGACUUUUGCCCUUGUGGAAAGACUUGAAACAAUCAGUAUUCUUGUGGCUUUUACUACCAACAAGGAAUUUACUCUUUACCAAAAAGAUAUAAAGAGUGCAUUCCUAUAUGAUUAUCUCAAGGAGGAAGUAAAUGUGAAACAAUCCCUUAGGUUUGAGAGAAUUGAAUUUCCUGAUCAUGUGUACAAACUUGAUAAGGCUUUAUAUGGAAUAAAACAAGUCCUAAGGGCUUAGUAAGAAAGAUUUUCAAAGUUUUUUCUGGAGAACAGACAUACAAGAGGUAAAAUGGACAACACUCUCUUCUUAAAGACCAAUGAAAAGGAUUUGUUGACUGUGCAGGUCUAGGUAGAUGACAUUAUUUUUGGUUCUACGAAUAUCAAUAUGACUUAUGACUUUGCAAGACUCAUGAGUAGUAAAUUUGAGAUGAUUAUGAUGGGAGAACUCAACUUCUUCCCGAGCUUGCAAUCAAACAAAUUGUUGCUAGGAUAUUAAUUCACCAACAAAAGUAUGUAAAGAAACUUCUCAAAAGGUUUAUCAUUGAGGAGGAAAAAGAGAUAUCUCUCCCAUUGCCACUUCCAUAAAAAUGGACAUGGAUGAAAUAUCUCCAUCAAUGAAACACAAGUUAUAUAGAGGAAUAUUUAGGUCACUAUUGUAUCUCACAACUAGUAUACCUGACGCCAUCUUUAGUGUUGGGCUAUGUGCAAGGUGCCAAGCUGAUCAUAAGGAAUACCUUAUUAAAUAUGUUAAAAGGAUCUUAAGAUAUCUUAAAGGAACCACUGAUCUUGGUCUUUGAUAUCCAAAAGAAUGUAAUUUUAUAUUGGUGGGUUAUGCUGAUGCUGAUUAUUUAGGUUAUCUAGUGGACAGAAAAAUCACAACAGGUAUGGCAUGGUUUCUUGGAUCAUAUGUAAUAUCCUGGUCUGCUAAAAAGCAAAACUCUAUAGCCUUGUUUACUACUGAGGUUGAGUAUUUUGUUGUUGGCUCAUGUAGUGCUUAAUGGUUGUGGAUUAAAUAAUAACUCAUGGAUUUUAGUAUAUAUGUUAGUUGUAUUCCUAUUUUCUAUGAUAAUACAAGUUCUACCAAUGUUGCAAAAAAUCUUGUGCAGCACAAAAAAAACUAAGCAUAUUAAUAUAAGAUAUCUUUUCCUUAGGAACAAUAUAGAAAAGAUGUUGUUUCUUUAAUGUUUUGAUCUACUAAAGAUCAAUUGAGACAUUUUUACUAAGAUAUUAAGUAAAGAACACUUUGAAAAGAAUAGCAUAGACUUAGGGAUGAUUAAAAUUGUAUAAAUCACCCUCAAUGACAUGCUGGAUAAAAUGCUUUACGUUGAUGUUAGUAGCAAAUCUAUUAACCUACUCAGUCUUGCACAUUUAGUUGUGUGUCUUAAUUCCAGUUCCUAACAAUUUUUAUUAUUGUGUAGAUCAUCUUUGUAGAUUUUAGAAGAAAAUAGAGCUAAACUGGAUGUCUAUGUUAAAAUUCCCAAAGGUCUGGUCUCACUUGUCUAUAGUUGCUUCGAAUUGAAUUGCAACACAUGAGCGUAUUUGUUCCCUCUAUUAAAUGCAUCUCUCUUUCUUCUUUAAUCGCCAAUUUUUGAAGAGUCCUUUUCUACUGCAAAAAAUUGCCACCCCCAGUCUUGCCAAAUUCAAAUCACCUAAUCCUAUUGGGUAUCCACUGAUGAAAACUAUUUAUUUUCUCAUAUAUCCAUUCUAAUUUCACUCCUAUUUAAACCCCACUCCUCCUAUUCAAACUCAUAAACUCGCAACAUUCUUGUUCCUACUUCUUUAUCUCUCUUAUUCAUACUUACCAAAUGGAUUCAUCUUCCUCCCUCUCCACUUUAUCUUCUCAUGAAAAAACUAACCCACCCUCCUCUUUUUUAAUGAAACUUAUUCUAGUCACGCCUCCUAUUCCUAAAAUCCCUCUUGUUCCUACCUUCAAAAUAUUUGAUUUUGCUACUUGGAAUGAGUUUCGAGCCAUGAUCAAAUCAUUUAAUCACCCCUCCUUCGAACAAGUUCAACAUAUUAUUCCUAUCCAAACUAUUUCUACUUAAGAACCCCUUAUCUCAGAUCAAAUUCCAAAAAGGUCCAGAUAUAGACUCAAGAAAAUAUCUGAAGCUCCUAUUAUUAUACCUGAACAUGAAGUUCUUGAGGAACACACUAGUUUUUUUCAAAGAGAACCUCCCACACUCGUAGUCGCAAAAGGAAAGAAGAUUUAUCCUUGAGAAAUAUCUAAGGGCUAGCAAAAAGAAACACCCUAUUCCUACUGGUUCUCCAUCUUUAGAUAUGACUUUUUAUGACCCUGAUGAUAACUUACUUAUAAGUGGGAAAAGGUUCAAAAAUAUUAUCGCUAAACCCUAUUGUUUUUACACAACCCGCUCUUUAUAAUCAUAAAAACCUCCUCCAAAGAAAGCUCUUAAAUCUGCACCAAAAGCAUCAACCAAAUACACACCCUCAUCUUGCUCUCCAAAGAAAUAAAUCCCUCGACCUUCUCCAUCCAUCUCUCUGUCAACCACUCCUCCUAAUGUUAUCUCUGCAUCUACUCUCUCUAUCUCUUGAUCCCAUUAUCAAGUUUUAAAAGCAGAAAGUAGUCUGAGGACGCAUUAUCACUAGGUUUGGGGGUCCUAAAAUGGCCACUCUCUUUACCAAAAUUAUUGACAAAUGUGGUCCUCUCUAUUUCUUUAAGGUACAACUCAAUGAAAGUUGGCCAAGAGAGAGGUCAUUGAGUUUUAUAUCAAUGAUAAUUUUGAUGGUACUGUGUUUACCAUUACUAUCCUUGGGUCCCCUAUUAAGCUGACUGGUGUUGUACGUAUUUUAGAUGUUCCUUCUGAGGGGUUGUAACACCCCCAAAAUAGGUCCCGAGACGUCACAUGGUGCUUAGAGCCACAAGUGACCCCCUAGCUAACCCUUCCACUAGCAUAACUCCAAAAGCAACUGAAAUAAAUGCAUAAAACUGUACAAAAUCAAUGGAAGACAACUCUUUCUAAAUCUGAUCAAUACAAAUUGAGUUCACAUGAUUAAAACUUUGCGUUUACAAAUAAACUAAAAUAAAAUACACUGACUGUAAUGACUGUCUAUGAAUCCUCUACUAGUAUUGACUAUAGAUAGUCGGUUCAUGACUCCCAACUAUCCUAACUCAAUAUGAUUGAAUUAAAAAAAUACAAUACUACACAAACUCUGAUUGACUUGAGCCCUUGAAUAAAAAAGGCUCAUCCUCUGCUGGCGGGAACCUGCAACCUGUCUGAUUAUGAUAUGUGAGCUAUGAAUUGUACCUACAUUAUAAGACAAUAUAGCACAUAGACAUAUAUAUGGAUCAGCAAUUUGAGGAUGUACUGAGUAUAUGGGGGUGUAUGCAUUUAAAUGAACAAUAUGGUUACUCUUUACAUAAAUCAUACAUGCAAAUAUGAAUGACUCACAUGGCUAGAAUAAAUCUGAAAUGUAAAUCUCAUAAAUCAUGAAUGGUGAAACAUGUAAUAUAAAUCUCGUGAGUCAUCAUACUUAACUCAAAAAUCUAUAUUCUCCUCUUAUUCUCAAAACUUAUAAGCUAAAGUAAUCUUUAAAAAAUACUUUAAAAACUCAUGAUUUUAUCUUUAGGAGAGUAGAACUUCUUUAAAACUUAGGGAAUUUUAAGACCGUAACACUUUUAGAGACUUUGGGACGUCAACUUUGGAGAUCUCAAAAUAUUAAAUUUCAAAAUAUAUAUACUUUAUCUUAAAGAGAGUAGUGAACUUCUUUUGGGAGUUUCUUCUAACCAACAUAAACCAUGUGAGCUGACAUGGAGUUCAACGUCUUCCCCACGUUGGGGAGGGUUGUUCUACCCUUGCCAUCAGAAUAGAACCUUAACUUUAGUGAUCACUAUCUUGGCCCACUUAGGGGCAACUCAGAAACCUACGGUGGAACGUAGUUCUGGAGUAUGAGACCUUGGAAUCAUACUUAACUCAAUGCUAAAUACUACUCUCAUACUUAUGCUCAGAACUUUUAGGAAAUCAACCUUAAAAAAAUACAAGGGUCUAUAAUAAAGAUCAAUUAUACUCAUCAUUGCUUUAAAUCAUAAAUAAUGUGCAUUCCUACCUUAGCUUGGAAUUAAAAGAUCAAUCUUUGCUUUGAAAGAACUUAUCAAACUUGUCAACAAGACAUUGAGAUACAGUCUCCUUAUAAACUCAUUACUAGUACUUAAGAUUCAAAAUAUAUAACUUUAAUGCAUCAAUAAUCAUAUUCAACUUCAUGCUCAGUAAUAAUCUUUACAAACUUUUAACAUUCUCAAAAUAACAAUCUUUAGAUAGGGGUUAAUGACCCAUAUAUCAAACUCACGUUAAAACACUAAAAGAUUCAAGCUUGAUAAUGUAAAUAUUUAUGAAUCAACUCAAAAUAUAGAAAUUUCAGCAAUAAGCAUGAAAUUAUAAACAUACUCAUGUAAUAUCAUAGUAAAACAUCAUACUCAAUAUGCUUCUUGAAAAUACUUCAACAAUGUCAAAAUAUAGAAAUCACGAAUCACAAUAUAAUGCUUAAACUCACUUGAAAAAUCUGGAAAAUCACAUUACUUUCAUAAAUAUAUGAAAUUAGUCAUGCAAUUCCACUUCUAAAUCAUUGAAAACCUUAUAAGCUUGUAAUUAACAACAAUGGGUAUAAAACCCAACUUGAAUUUCAUGGAAAAUAAUCAAAAAUUCAGUAAUUUAUAAUCUAAAAUAAGUUUUGGGUACAAGGACGAAAGGAUUGUCCUUGUUGAAACCCCACAUACCUUGGAUGAUAAACCUGGAUGAAAAACUUGCUUAUGAGAUGAUAUUUGUACUCUUGAAUGAGAGUUCUUGGAGUUCUUGAACUAAGAACUUGGAAUCUUGACCCAACUUGGAGAAUUAAGGGUGAACUUUAGGAGAUUCUUGAAUUUGGGUGAUGAAACUUAGGAUUUCUAGAUGAGAGAAUUUGAUGAAAAAAGGGGUGUAAUUUGCUCAAUAUCACCCUUAAUCCUUUGUGUUUAUGACCUAGGUUGAGGGGGAAAAAUAUCCCAUUGCCCCUCGUUAAUCUGGACCGAAAAUUCGUAACCCGCAUUCCGAUUUUUCCCUUCAGCGCGACACGCUACCAUUGCGGCAGCUUACUGCCUCACACUAAAAUGGCUUUAACUUUUUGCUCGGUAUCGGAUUUUUGAGAAAUUUGUAUCAUCGGAUAGUUAAUUCAAUUAUCUACAAUUUGGUGGGUCUUGGGAUGGAAAAUUAAACGUAUAUAAAAGGUUAUAUAUGUUUAAAGUGGACCCUUAUAGGAUUGAAUGCCAAAAAGAUUAUUCAAUUUUUCACAUAAUAGAUGGUCUAAAUCUAGAAAAUUUUGUAUGAAAUAAAGGUAAUUCAUUUUUGAAGUACACUCUUAACAUUCUAGGAAUGAAUGUUAAGCUAGGAAAAACAUGGGGUGUUACAGGGGUAGUCUCACUAUAUGAAGUAUAAGUGACCUCCCUUUCAAAAUCUACCCACAUCCCUUGAUAUCACUAAGAAAUUCUCCAGCAUGCCUUCACUUACUCACCAUCAUCGAUUUGAAAUGAGAGAGAUGUCUCCCCUACAUCAACUUUACUUCGACGUAGUGCAUAAGAUUUUUCUCCAAAAAAUAAAAAGAAGAACUAAAGCCAACUACUUAGAUAUGACCUUGAUGGAGCUACUGGAUUGAGUUUAAAAUUGACCUCCCAGUAUGAUAUUGAAACACAUGAAUCAUGUACUCCAUCAAGAUAAAAAUGGCCUUCAUUGGCAUAUAGCUUUAGGCUUGUACAGAUCUUUGAUGAGUUUGAAGUUCCAGUUCCUGUAUGGGAAUAUUAGACCACAAAAUAUGUUAUUUAUAGAUUUCAUCAUUCUUCUCUUCCCAGGUCCAGGUCUAUGAGACGUGCAAACAUUCCUCUACAAAGGGAACAAAAUUCCUUGGAAGAGAAAAUCAAAGAAUUGGAAGAUAUUAUAGUUGCUCAAGCCCAGGAAACUGCUAUACUCAGGGAUAGAAUUGUUGAACUUUAUAAUGAACUUGAUUAGGAGAGGCAUACUAAUGAUUCUUCUAUUUAUUGUUUAACAUAGUUGAUUCCAUUUGCUCCCUCUGCAUAAUUAGUGUCCUUCAUUAGCUCCCUAGGAUCAUUUAUUUUUGUCUUCUUCCCUCCUAUACUUAGGUGUUUCUUUUCUUUUGGUAUGUUUCUUGGCAAUGUGAUGGUCAUAUUUUGGAAUUGAA
rnacentral:lncRNA from 1 species